rnacentral:rRNA from 1 species
GUGAACGCUGGCGGUAGGCCUAACACAUGCCAGUCGAACGGCAGCACAGUAAGAUCUUGCUCUUACGGGUGGCGAGUGGCGGACGGGUGAGGAAUACAUCGGAAUCUACUUUUUCGUGGGGGCUAACGUAGGGAAACUUACGCUAAUACCGCAUACGACCUACGGGUGAAAGCAGGGGAUCUUCGGACCUUGCGCGAUUGAAUGAGCCGAUGUCGGAUUAGCUAGUUGGCGGGGUAAAGGCCCACCAAGGCGACGAUCCGUAGCUGGACUGAGAGGAUGAUCAGCCACACUGGAACGGAGACAAGGUCAAGACGCCUACGGGAGGCAGCAGUGGGGAAUAUUGGACAAUGGGCGCAAGCCUGAUCCAGCCAUACCGCGUGGGUGAAGAAGGCCUUCGGGUUGUAAAGCCCUUUUGUUGGGAAAGAAAAGCAGCAGGUUAAUACCCCGCUGUUCUGACGGUACCCAAAGAAUAAGCACCGGCUAACUUCGUG